CUUGUGCCCAGAGACUGCAGCUGGAUUGUGGCUGGCAGAGUGCCUGGCUGUCUCCCAGGGCUCGUGAAGGGGCCUGCUCUUACCUCCAGCCUGGGAGCUCUGGCUGCAGAAGAUGAAGGAGUCAUCUCUGAGCCUCUUGAAAGAAAUGCUACUGGUCUCCCGACUGAGAAUCACCAGCUUAAAGAGAGGCCCAGAGAGACGUCAAGCAGACAGACUGAUGGACAGACAGACUCUGAGAUGAAGAAACCCAGGUGCAGUGUGAUGUCUGUCCUCUGACAUUGUUGUCCUGACCUUCCUGUGUUGACGAUGGAAGCCCAGACACUGGAAAGCAGUUCUGUGCUGAUCCUGCCGGAGCCUCGAAUGAGCCUCUGCAAGCUGCCUGGGGCAUCAGUCCUGGGAGCCCUGAUGGGGAAGGCACAGGACUGCAGCUCACAAAGAGAUACAAGAUCAUUAACCAGGAAGCCACCAAGAGACACUGCAAUCACCCAUUUGUGUGUCUUAUUUUCUCUGGAGCCAGAAGGUCUUUCAUCUUGGAAUUUCUCUGGGAUUGUGCUUCAUAUUUCAAUCAUUCUCUCUUGUCUGGUUUUAUCUAUCCCUUUGACAGAUCAUAUGGUUGCUCCACUGUUUCCAACUUUCUCAACAGCAUGA
rnacentral:lncRNA from 1 species